rnacentral:snRNA from 1 species
GAGUGUUAGCGUUCUUUUCGAAUUUGUGGUUUUCCAGUUCUUUCUGGAAGAUCCUA